AACGAACGCUGGCGGCAUGCCUAACACAUGCAAGUCGAACGAGACCUUCGGGUCUAGUGGCGCACGGGUGCGUAACGCGUGGGAACCUGCCCUUAGGUUCGGAAUAACUCCCCGAAAGGGGUGCUAAUACCGGAUAAUGUCUUCGGACCAAAGAUUUAUCGCCUUUGGAUGGGCCCGCGUUGGAUUAGCUAGUUGGUAGGGUAAAAGCCUAUCAAGGCGACGAUCCAUAGCUGGUCUGAGAGGAUGAUCAGCCACACUGGGACUGAGACACGGCCCAGACUCCUACGGGAGGCAGCAGUGGGGAAUAUUGGACAAUGGGCGAAAGCCUGAUCCAGCAAUGCCGCGUGAGUGAUGAAGGCCUGAGGGUUGUAAAGCUCUUUUACCCGGGAUGAUAAUGACAGUACCGGGAGAAUAAGCUCCGGCUAACUCCGUG
rnacentral:rRNA from 1 species